GUCAGAAUGUCGUGCAACUGGAGCUAAGAAAAGCCUCUGAGAAAAAACAAAGGAGCAUUGCAUCUUACCAUAACAUAAGAUGUGCACAUACAUUGAACCAAGACUGUAGCUGAUGUGCAGUGUCACUUACAACAUUAAUCAGAUACUGCAUUUAAGAUAGCGGGCCAAAAGAAGUAGCAGUCUUAAACUAAAACAAAUUACAG
rnacentral:lncRNA from 1 species